GUCUACAGCCAUACCACAUCAACCACCUGGAUCUCAUCUGAUCUCAGAAGCUAAGCAGGGUCAGGCCUGGUUAGUACUUGGAUGGGAGAGAUGGUGAAGAACAAAUAAAGUACAAA
rnacentral:rRNA from 1 species